rfam:Triticum urartu cultivar G1812 contig477445, whole genome shotgun sequence.
AUACUACUCCUUUCGUUCCGAAUUACUUGUUGCAGGUAUAGAUGUAUCUAGAUGUAUUUAGGUUUUAGAUAUAUCCAUUUCUGCGACGAAUAAUUUGGAAUGAAGGGAGUAGUAU